AUUGAACGCUGGCGGCAUGCCUUACACAUGCAAGUCGAACGGUAACAGGUCUUCGGAUGCUGACGAGUGGCGAACGGGUGAGUAAUACAUCGGAACGUGCCUAGUAGUGGGGGAUAACUACUCGAAAGAGUGGCUAAUACCGCAUGAGAUCUACGGAUGAAAGCAGGGGAUCGCAAGACCUGUUGCUACUAGAGAGGCCGAUGGCAGAUUAGGUAGUUGGUGGGAUAAAAGCUUACCAAGCCGACGAUCUGUAGCUGGUCUGAGAGGACGAUCAGCCACACUGGGACUGAGACACGGCCCAGACUCCUACGGGAGGCAGCAGUGGGGAAUUUUGGACAAUGGGCGCAAGCCUGAUCCAGCAAUGCCGCGUGCAGGAUGAAGGCCUUCGGGUUGUAAACUGCUUUUGUACGGAACGAAAAGCCCUGGGUUAAUACCCUGGGGUCAUGACGGUACCGUAAGAAUAAGCACCGGCUAACUACGUGCCAGCAGCCGCAGUAAGAC
rnacentral:rRNA from 1 species